GGUUGAUCCUGCCAGUAACAUAUGCUUGUCUCAAAGAUUAAGCCAUGCAUGUCUAAGUAUAAACAACUUUAUACUGUGAAACUGCGUACAGCUCAUUAAAUCAGUCAUUAUUUAUUUGAAAGUUUCUUACUACACAUGGAUACCCGUAGUAAUUCUAGAGCUAAUACAUGCAAAAAAUCCUGACUCACGAAAGGAUGUAUUUAUUAGAUAAAAAACCAAUGCACCCUCUGGGUGGUUUCUGGUGACUCAUAAUAACUGAUCGAAU
rnacentral:rRNA from 1 species